GGGAAUAUUGGACAAUGGGCGCAAGCCUGAUCCAGCCAUGCCGCGUGGGUGAAGAAGGCCUUCGGGUUGUAAAGCCCUUUUGUCCGGAAAGAAAUCCUGUCGGUUAAUACCCGGCGGGGAUGACGGUACCGGAAGAAUAAGCACCGGCUAACUUCGUGCCAGCAGCCGCGGUAAUACGAAGGGUGCAAGCGUUACUCGGAAUUACUGGGCGUAAAGCGUGCGUAGGCGGUUCGUUAAGUCCGAUGUGAAAGCCCUGGGCUCAACCUGGGAACUGCAAUUGAUACUGGCGAGCUAGAGUGCGGUAGAGGAUGGUGGAAAUCCCGGUGUAGCGGUGAAAUGCGUAGAGAUCGGGAGGAACACCAGUGGCGAAGGCGGCCAUCUGGACCAGCACUGACGCUGAGGCACGAAAGCGUGGGGA
rnacentral:rRNA from 1 species